GCAGUUCUCAGAGUGUAACCAAGGAGCCGUGACUUGUUUAACGUGACGGAGAGGUGAACUGGACUGCACCCGGUUGUGAUAGAGUGGGUGCUGAUACAAGCACUAUAACCUGAUCUGUGAUUUUACACCCAGUUUCCUCUCCUCUUUCCAUUUUCCCCCCCGUUUCCAGGGGAAAGUUACACCAGAAAAGAAAAAAAAAAAAGUCGAACCUCUUUGAAGCUCAAGCUCAAAGGCGCUUGAAUAAUCUCACUAAGAGUGAAUUUUAUAUCCACUCAGGGAGAGCAAAUCUUCUCAGUGUUAACUUACUCCUGUCGUCUAAAUUAACCAUUCCUUCAGGCUGGCUGAAUGGGGCCUCUGCAUCGCUGAUGUGGCAUAAUGAUAAGUUGGCCCUUUGAGGCUCCUGUUUAGCCCAGCGACUGAAAGGGAGCUGGAUUUAUAAAGAUGAUCGCUUCACAUGUUGUUUGCAUUCAGACCAUGUACAACGUCACAUAAUUCAAGCCAUUACUGUACCGCUGGAACUUCAUAAUCUGAUUAACUGUGUCCGAUCAUAACCACAUUUCCUUCUGCGAAUCCAUCUUUUAAGCGCUGCUCAAGAUGGAAAUCAACUGCAGGAACCAACUGUUGCGCGCUCUCAAAAAAUGCGCUGCAAAUCUUCAAACGGACCUGGAGCCUCUGCCUCGGCUGAUUUCGGUUUACUCACAUCUAUCGUGUCAAGAGAUCAUGCUACAACUGUGCCAGCCACGUUUGUCAAACUCCCUAACCCCACUCGACAACAAGGACACACUGCCAGAUUUUUUUUUUUGGUAUUUUAAUCUAAAAGCCUCUCACUCUAUCUUCUCUUCCUCUCGUUCAAUUUUUCCCUCGUCUCUUUCUCUCUCUCUCUUGCUCCCUCUCGUUUCAUCCCCCGAGCGCUGACGUUAAUCCAAAUCUGGAUUUCCAGAUAUUAAAAGGCCAACAGUCAUGUCGCGUUUUGGAGGGAGGAAAGUGGGGAAAUGGGUCUUCCUGUGUGUCUCGGCAGAGAUAAAAACACAAGGGAGGGAUGAAGGGAUGACAGGACGAAGAACAAAGACAGGACCGGUCCACCGCUAAUGAUUGAGUGGAACAAACUCAGCGGUCCAGAAUACCCAAAAGAAGUGGUCAUUGCAUGAAGGAAUGCUGCGUUUUUGAAAGAAAGCGGCUGGCUCCAUAAGAGGGGGUUUGUGUGAUUUAAGACCCUCUUUGUGGGUGUGGAUCGUUGGCCACAGAGUGACUAGUGGGAGAACAAAAGAUCUACAGCUGCUGAAGUCAUAAGAGAAACCAGGUGCCAAAUGUUGAUGUUGGGAAAUAUCUACAGUACAAUGACGUGAGCCAAGAGCAAAGCUCCUGUUCCAGCGCUACAUAUGUUCUUCUACUGUAUUUUUGCCUACAAGAAAACAUAUUAAAGGAGGUUGUUUUAAAGUAAAGUUCUGUUGAAACGUUGUAAGUUUCAACAGAACUUACCUGCAGUAGUUAACUCAUACAGAAUAAAUCCAGAUUCGUUGGUAGUGGAGCCUGAAGCCAGCGGCUUUAAACCCCGUGAGCAAAGUUUCAAAAGAUGAUGAUGCCUUUCUUCUAAUUAAUGUGAAAAAGUGCAGAAAAGCCAAAAGUGAAAAUUCUGCUGCAUAAAGACAUCUACAGAUGUCUGAAUCUGGCUGAAAAGGGGGGGGGGGGGGGGUUGCUCCACUGUGCAAACUGGUUUUAAACAUCUUUGUUCAGGCUAAAUUUAGACAUGUGGGCUAAAAAGAAGUCAAAUUUUCAGCAUAAUUUUCAGGGUUAAAUAAAGGCGUCCUAAAAAAAAACCCCUGCGCCGAUGUUAAUGUUUGGUGGGAAGUCUGACAGGAGAAAAAAACAAACUUCCACACUUUUAAAACAACUCCAGGCUUAAACGUAGCUGUUUAUGCUAACUCUGUUUUGCUAGUUCUUUGGUCCACAUCAGAAUUCAUGUAAGAAUUCACACCUCCCCAAAUGAACCAGACUUUCCAGGCAAACGAACUACAGUUUGAACAAAGCGGCCUAAGCAAAGGUGGUGUGAAUGAACGGACCUUUUGUCUUGGUCCAAUCCAAACUAGUCGUUAGCUUUAGUCUUUGCAACAAACCAGCUUGGACUUAUGAUAAGUAACGAUACCAAAACAGUUGCCUCUUCAACAGAGGGCUAUGAAAAUCCCAGAAAUUUCCCAUUUAACAUUCAUAUUCGAGUGAAGGCCUCAACAAUCGACUAAAAAAAACCCAGAUUUCACAAGGACAUUCGGGGUGGAGAGGAAGGACUGUUCCCCAAGGUGCUCUGGGAAGAGGAGUGGGAGACGUGUUGCGGGAUACCAGCGCUGAGUGGUCCAGACAACACAUGCUAAGGCUGGAGCGCGGUGCAGCGGUCUAUAUUUAUUCUCAGGUCUGCUAAAUGAGGUCACUCAGGUGGUCCUGGUGAAUACAUCCCCCCCAACCCGCCCCAUAUCCAUCAUGAAUCAUCUACUGCUUAUUAUUCCUGUUCGGCCCAGGAGGAGUGGGGACGAGGCGGGUGGGGAGGGGAAGCUUUCACACAGAGCAAUAGGCUCAGUGUGGAGCUAGCCGCGGCGUGCACGUUUGCGUGCGCAACAUCUGCCCAGAGCACAAGCGCAGGGAUGGAUACAGCCCAUGUGACAGACAGAGAGCAGGUUGUUUAAUGAGAAUGUGGAUGAGAGGUGACAUUCAUUGGCUGCCUCUCACCCACAGCAUUCAGACUCCCACUCAGAAGAGCAAAGGCAGGGAAAACGGUAGGCGCAGUAACCACUGUCAAUAAUGUCUACAUUCCCCCCCCCCCAAAAAGAGAAAUGGGAGAUAAAUACAUAAGCGGGCGACAACUACCAUCGGAUCACUCUCGGUUAGCGUCAAGGCGGGGAAGAAGAAAACACCGCCGCCGCCGCGCGGAGCCGCUUCAUCGCGUUUUUCGAGCAAAGCAGGGCACAAAAACGACACACUCCAUUCCAGUCAGCGUGUUUACGUAUCAAACAGAGCAUCGCCAUAAAAAUGUCCAUUUCUCAGAGCUGCGAUUUCCCUAUCUGGGUUUUUGUUUACAUUAGUCGGGCAGAACUGAAGUGCUGAGAAGCAAAAGAGAGCCUAUUUGCACAAAAUAUUUCACUCCUGAACGAGCACAGGGAGGGUUAGAUUAGGUUUAUGUGCCUGAUUCCAGAGAUAACCCUCCCCGGCAGACCUGGCGCGCACACAGGGGAAGCAUGCGCACACGCGCACACACACACAUGCACACACACGCACACGCGUAUAUGUGGAUGAAAAAACACAUACAGACAGGGGUUGACAGACUGGAAUAAUACUGGGGGGAUCUGGAUGUUUGCACUUUGAACCUUUUCUAAUCCUGAGUAUUAGGGCAUGGCUAAAGCCUGAUUAUAGUGGAAUGAAAUGGAUCUAAAUAGAUGUCCCAGCCCAUCACACUUCCAUUUCUUUUGUCCCAGAAAUAGGAAUGGAAAUCAGUAAUCAACCUUCCAGCCCUCCUGCUCGCCGUCUCUCUCCCACAUAGCCUCGUCUGUAGGUUUGGCAUCAGCCAAGAAGAUUCGUUUAGACUUUUUUUUUUUUCUCUUUUUAUCAUCUCAGAUGAGUCGAGCGCUCUCGGCUUGGCUGAUGUUUUUUUUCCUCUCCUCUCUGCCUCAUGCUUCUCUGUCGUAAUAGAACCUGGCAGACAAUAUAAAAUUGUCACAGCUUCAACGCUUGACAAGCAAAUUUUUUAUGCUAUUUUGUGUAUCCAAUAUUGAAUUUGGGUCAGAACAAAUGUGGUUUUGAGUAAUGAGGGUGGACACAGCUGAUUUUCUCAUCUCUCUCUGCUUCUCUGUUGCCUUUCCUUUUGGUGGCGGUCGCUUAAAGCUUCGCCACGCGGUACCUCUGAUGUUACUGCGUGCCGUCUGCUCCCAGGAGCCGCUUGGCCGCGGUGUAACGGUAAGCAGGGUAAGGGGUCAAGGUUUGUGGUGCUUAGCUGCCCGGCGUGAAUGCAACUGUUGCUCUGCUCCCCUGCGUCUCUCCACAGCCAGAGGGGGAGCUCCUCUCCCACAUCCCGAUUAGUCUGCUCCCUCACUCUCACACACACACACACCGGCUCACAUUUUGUCUCGUUACAAACAUCAUUACAUUUAGAAAGGCAUUUUUCAACGAUAAAGAGGAUAAUUCUUACAUGGAUGUAUGUUUGGGAUUGGAUUAAUAGGGUACUUUAACAUUUUUCUCUGCAGACCCCCUUUUUACUCUGAUACCUCUAAAUAAAAACAAGCAUCAGCGCCAACUGUGUGUACUUUCAUCUCGCUGUAACUGCAUCGCUUCUGUGGAAGGCCUUUUGUUAGGGAAUAGUAGUGAGCAAACGGCAUCGUGAAGAACAAGGAACACAGAAACAGCCAAAGAAGGAUGUUUUAGAGGUCAGGUUAAAAACCAAUAUCCCAAAAUAUAUUACACAGCACUGCUUAAUCCAUUAAGUGAAAAAAGAGAGAGCAUGGAGCAGCUGUAGCCACCCAAACUGACAGGCUAGGACAGGGUGUCCAAACUUUUUGUCUCUUGGGCCAAAAUUGUGGAGUCGAGAGGACGUGAGGGCCAGAAAAAUGUCACAAAUUUAAUAAACACUUGUACGAUGAUGUUUUGUUUUUGUUUUGCUUUUUUUAAACUGACCUGAUGAUGUAAUAGUUUAAUUAAACAAAUGAAACAGUCUGAUUUUUCUGUCGCUGUUGGAAGGAAAUGUGUAAACUAUUGUAGAGCCAAAACUUGAGGGUUUUCUUUAUUUCAUUUUUUUCUCUUUUCUUUUUUUCAUGUUUUUUUUCUUUUUUUUUUUUUUUGCAGAUUUACCUUAUUAAAAGACACAUUUGACAGGUGUUUAUUAAAAUGUAGUCAGCUCGGAGCAGUAUAAGCAGGACUUGGGGCCCCUCUGUGUUUGGGGCUGGAUACAUUUUGUCUUUGCAAAAGAAUGCAAAAAGUGCGGUUAUGUAAAGAUUAGUACUUUGUAUUUGAAUAAGAUUUCAAUUUAUCUCUAAUCUUUCUGCUCCAAUUAAAAAAAAAAAAGUUUCCAUCUGGAUCAAACUGGGGAGAAUAACCUGCAUUAUUCUUUAACUUUAAGCAAAGUAGUCAGGACCUUACUGUCCCAUACAUCAAAAAUAAUAUGUAAGGCUGGAAACUAACAUUAGACAUCAACCUGAACACUCCGUUCCCAUGGCGAUAGAUGGUGGUGGCAGCAUCAUGCUAUGGGAAUACUCUUCCCAGAAGGCGAUCCUGGAAGUCAGGCAGUCAGAGUGUAAUGGGGUGGUUUAGAUUUAAUUAUAUUCACAUCCAAUAAUGUCCCAGUCAAAGUUCACACCUCAAUGAUCCAGCUGAGAAUCUGUUCUGACUGAAGCUGCCUUACAGGUGCAGCUGCAGACGAAAGAUGGUCCUAAAAAUAGACUCAAAAAAAUUUGACUUCUGUUAUUAAAGAAAUCCUUUUAAAAGCACAAAUAAUUAUCCUCGUCUUAGCAAUUAUGUUAAAGGCUAUUUUGUGUUAUUUUAUCACAUGAAGUCCUGGUAAAUUGUAAUGUGGUUAUAACAUAAAAAAAUGUCAGAAGGUUUACUGGUUUCUCACACUUUUGCAUGAAACUCCAGUCCUGAGAAGUCAGCAGACACCAACAUGGGCGUGCAGACAAACAAAUACAAGUUCACACACACACACACACACACACACACACACACACACACACACACACACACACGCACACGCACACGCACACGCGCAAGCUGCCUGCAUAGCCAGAAGAUCAGGCAGGACUUAAAAGCUCCUCCAGCAGCAAAAUUACAGGGUACCUCUAAAUCCUCCCAGCAGAAAGCACUAUGCUAUAGCGCAGGGUGGGGUGAGGGGAGGGGGUGAGGUAAAAUAGAGGUGUGUGUUUUUUUCUGCAUGUGUGCAUGCAUGUGUUGAUGUAUGUUAGCGAGGUAAAAGUGGGGCUUGUGUGUGGGGCACAGGGCGAGGGAGGCCAAAAGAAGAUGCAGAUGCAUGAGAUUUUUUUUUUUUUCUUCUCCAGAAAAAAGUGCAGGAACGGCAGAUGAGUGAGACCUGAUCUGUCUGAUGUGUGCUGGCAUAACUGCGUGUGUGCGUGUGUGUGUGCACAUAGGACAGUUGUGCGUGCAUAUGCCUGCGAGGGGAAUAUGGAAGGAGGUGAUGAAGUGAGGGGUUGAGGGAAGGAGGGACUGCCGAGCUGAGUUUGGAAAGAGGAGGUGGGAGGUGAUCGCUCUCUGUUUAAGUGGAGGAAGCAUAUGUGCUUUGGAUUGCAUGCACGUGUGCGUGAGUGUGUGUGAGAGUGUGUGUGUGUGUGUAUGCCAGCUUUCUUCUCUCACUCACACUCAGAAUUUCUCUUAAACGCUCCAUUAGACUCCUUAAAUGUGUGUACUUUGGAUUCUGUGUACAUCUGAAUAACUCUGCUGAAAGUUGCGACGUGUGGGCAUGUGGACUUAUCGCGAUGUGUGUGCAUGGCCUGCGAAAUGUGUGAGCGACUAAAAAAAGAUGUGUCUAUAUGCUCACAAAUAUUCAUGAACAAAUCCGUUCUCCUAUUUAUUUUUUUUUUUUUACUGUCGAUGUGCUUGGAUGUGUGUGGUCCGUGGACAUCAGUCAAGAAAGCAGCCCCGCAUUGCCGAGCAAAAGGCUUGGGCAUUAAGGCCCUGCACAGCCAGCACCACCACUGGGCUGGUGCUUCAAGUCUACUUAUGACAGCUUUUAACCUCUGCAGAGGACCUGUCAGCAGCUCCCAAAGUGUCUUUGUGUGUAGCUCAAAGACAGGGAGUGUCUGUGCCAGCCUCCCAGUCUGCAGUCAGAGAGAGAGAGAGAGAGAGAGAGAGAGAGAGAGAGGGAGAGGAAAAAAAGUGGCAUUUCACCUUCUGAUUGGUGCAAGUUAAAGGUUAGGGGAAGAUGCAACACAUGCUGAGGCGCAGACGCACCCACAAACACAAGCUCAAAAAGCUAAAGGUUAAUAUUGUUCAUGUGGGAGUUGCUGCGUCGUUGUUUGUCUCGCUUCCAACCAUUAUGUAUGUGUGUGCAAGGCUUGUUUUCAGCUAACAAUGUGUGCAGUUAACCAGGAGCACACAGUUUCAUCCUUGUUAAAACAAGGGGUGGGGAAUCUCUGCGUUAGUGUUUCAUUAAUCCCAUCUUGCUUCUUUUUUCUUCUUCUUCUUCUCUCUUGUCACAGCAACAGUGGGCGAGAUGCCCACUAUUCCCUUUUUUUUUUCUUUUUUCAAACAACCACCCAUUAAUCUGCAUCGACAAUCAGUCAACAUGACUUUUAAACCUGCACUUCAGCUUCGACUUUCAUCCCCUC